AAAGGACUGAGCUUGCCUCUGACUGGCUAGGUAGGAACCUGAGACUAGGGGACAGAAGGACUAGAGAUUCAUCCAGUAAAGAGAGCUCACCUGUGACUGAGGAGCCUGGCUCCAUUUCAGGUCUUCUGUGAUUUCAAUAAGGAAGAAGAAUGGAAACUCUCCUGGGAGUGUCUUUGGUGAUUCUAUGGCUUCAACUGGCCAGGGUGAACAGUCAGCAAGCAGAAGAGGAUCCUCAGACCUUGAGCAUCCAGGAGGGUGAAAAUGCCACCAUGAACUGCAGCUACAAAACUAGUAUAAACAAUUUACAGUGGUAUAGACAAGAUUCAGGUAGAAGCCUUGUACAGCUAAUUUUAAUACGUUCAAAUGAAAGAGAGAAAAAUAGUGGAAGACUAAGAGUCACUCUUGACACUUCCAAGAAAAGCAGUUCCUUGUUGAUCACGGCUUCCCGGGCAGCAGACACUGCUUCUUACUUCUGUGCUACGGAUGCACAGUGUUCCCCAGGAACCUGCAGCCUCUACACAAACCCUGCCAAAGCAGCUUCUUAGAAGCCCUAACAGUGGGCAGAACUGGUGGUUAUGUCUUUCAGUGAAGAAGAAUCUA